UAGAACUGCAGUGUAGGACUUGGGAGGAUGGGAAAGUUAAAUAUUGGUCUCAAGUUUUUUUGCUUUUGCUAUUGUUACCACUUGUCACUGUCUCCACGUUAAAAUGCCAAAAA